rnacentral:rRNA from 1 species
UACGUAGGGUGCGAGCGUUGUCCGGAAUUAUUGGGCGUAAAGAGCUCGUAGGCGGUCUGUCGCGUCGGAUGUGAAAACUCGGGGCUCAACCCCGAGCCUGCAUUCGAUACGGGCAGACUAGAGUUCGGUAGGGGAGACUGGAAUUCCUGGUGUAGCGGUGAAAUGCGCAGAUAUCAGGAGGAACACCGGUGGCGAAGGCGGGUCUCUGGGCCGAUACUGACGCUGAGGCGCGAAAGCGUGGGGAGCAAACGGG